rnacentral:lncRNA from 1 species
GUUAUUUUGACUUUAGCGGACCAUAAAUACACUUAUGUGCAGCAUAGGUGACUUUAUGGUACAAUGAAAGACUAAAUUUUAAUUGUAUUCAGUCUUGUGUUAUCAUGUUUUGUAAAUUUUAGAAAUAUGUAGAAAAUAGUUACUGAUGGUACAUAUGUGAUUAUCUAACUUGAAACUCAUUGGAAUUUUGCAAUUGAUAAGGGGGCGCUACUUCAAGCACAUGUUUUAACAUCCAGCCUCUUUUCCAAAUUGCUGCCAAAGGAAGAACACACAGAAAUUUGGUGACAUUCAAUUUUCAUAAAAUAUUUUAAUCCCCUCCCCCUCCCCCUUCUUCCACCUUGAAAAGAGGUUUGUUAAUUGUUGAAUUGGAUGAGGACAAAAAGAGCGGUAUCUGCUCCCAAAAGUUGAAAUGUUACACUAUUAUUAACAAAUUUAUAGUCAAGGGGAGAUAACUCUAAAUUGAUUGACUUUUCAAAAAAUUCAAUUUCAAUAAUUUGAUGACAUUUGUCUUUUCAUUUAUUACAUAAUAUGCUCAUUGGUUCAGAC